ensembl:lncRNA
UUCACACUUCAGAAUAGUCCUGGCGGGCCCCCGCGGAGGAGCUGAGGGUGCGAGAGGCUCUUUUACCCCUGCAGGGGGGCAGAAAAUGCAUUGGUGAUGAAGUGCUAGAGCGGUGCUUGUUGUUGGUUGAGACGGUAUGGGGCAAUGGACCAUCUGUUACAGGGAUCUGAUCCAGAGGAGAAACAGAGGAAGUCAGAGGGGAGUUGGCUUUCAUACAUCUUAGUGAAACAGAAACCACGCGCCAGCUGAUGUGCAGGUAGAUGUGUGCUGGCGGUCGUGCCGGAGUUGCCCUGUCGCAGAUGGCAUUACAGCUGCCUGGGUGGUACAUCUACACAAUAACCCCACUAUUAUAUUGCAAAUCCAGAGGACCAGGACAAACCGGUUGUGGCAAAGCAGACACUUAGAGUCUGGUAUUGGCAUAAUGCCUUGUUCUGAGGCACUUUUGUGAGCCAUUAUAAGAAAGAUCAUGUUAUUCUUAAUUUCCAGACACACCAAAAGUGAUUUACACAACUUUUUUACUACAGGCACAAUCAAUCCUUUUGGGGUUUGAACCUACAACCUUUUGGUUUACCAGUCCAAAUACUAAGCCACAACCCUUGUGUAAGCAAAAUGUUAAACUUGCAACAUAAAGUCGGGUUCAAUUUGCAGCUUAUUCCAGCCAAGAACGGCCACUAAGUUGACCGACAUGUGAAGAAACCAACUUUUUUGUUUUGUUUUUAUGUGUUGUUUAGAGGCUUAUUGUUGUUUAGGGGGUUUAUCUGAAAUACAUUAUACCACAGUAAGAGACUUCAUUGCAAAAACUUAAUCAAAUAUGCCUACCACAAAACAACAUGCAGCCAAUGCUUUCAUAUUGCUCAAGUUCUGAAAAUAUCUUGCAUUCCUGUUAUUGUGUGGGACGACUUUUAAC